ensembl:lncRNA
CGACACUCGCGGGCGGUGGGGGAGGAGCUGGGGGAGGGGCUCAGGUGGGGGCGGGGCGGGUUGCAGACUCUGGGGCCAGCAAGGUUGUGAACCCUAAGCGGCCGCGCGUCUCUAGCACCGGUGCUCCCGCCGCCGCCGUUAGUGUCUUCAGAGGGCCUGCCUAGGCCCGCCGGGAGCCCAGUUUGUUUUUUCUCGCCGUUUCCAUAGCAACUGCAGCCUCGCGCGGAGAGCUAGCCUGUGAACUAGGCUUGGAGCGCGCGCCUGGCUCCCUUGAGCUUCUCUGGCUGCCUCUAGCAUCGAAGUCAUGGAAGUAAGAGUGUUGGGAAUGAAGUUAUCUUGCCAGUGCUGUGCCAGGGUGGAGCUUGGACACCUGCACAUAGCUAGCCCGGCGUUGGGAUUGGUGACUCUGAUGGCCAGCUUUGCUGCUCUUUCUACGAUGGCUUUUCAGUUCUUAGAGGACACAUUGUGAGCAAUCUCAGCACCGUAAGAUUUGUUGCACAUCAGCAGCACUUCCAGCUCUUUGACAUUGUGGACCAGAAACUUCCGGAAGCCGCUAAGCAGAUAGGCAGAGCAUGUGCUUGGUUUUCUUGUUGCUCCGGUAACCAAUGAUAGGCAUCAGGAUCUGGCCCUUGAAUCUUCUCGGUACCCUGCCUCUGGGUUUUCACCUGUUUCCCUUAAUUUUCACAUAUCGGUCUGACUGGUGCCUAAUGAACUUCUUGGACCUCUUGUUGACGAUCUUGGGCUUCACCAGAGGCCUGAGGGCAAGUGAUACCGCAAAAUAGGUCCAGUGUAGCACUCUCUUCCUUCUGCCUGUUGAUCUGGAUGUAUAAUUCUCAGCCUCUUCUCCAGCAUCUGUCUGCUUGCAUGCUGGCUCCCCACCAUGACACUAUUUUCCAUUCUUUUCAACCAGCCAGCCUGAAAGACUGCUGCAAAACAAAGUGUUCCUUACCCCUUCUAGCUUAAAAUUCUGCUGCUGUUGCUGCUGCUGCUGCUGCUGCUGCUGCUGCUGCUGCUGCUGCUGCUGCUGCUGCUCAUGGUGGCACAUCCCUUUAACCCUGGCACUUAGGAGGCUGAGGCAGUGAAUUUCUGUGAGUUUGAGGCCCUGAUCUGCACUCGGAAGGUGCUUUUUUCUUUCCCUGGAGUGAAAUCAGGAAUCAUCAGCUUGGAAUGCCAUCCUGCUUCCCCUCCCUCUCGCCCCUCCACUGGCCUGCCCUACGCCUCUGCAACCCAAAGCUUGAAUCUCCACUUCCUUUAACAUCUCCAUCUCCAUUUAUCUGUCUCCAUCCAACCAAUGUGUCGAGCCUCUACUUAGAUAUCAUCGCCCCCGGAAAUAAUUUCUGUAUCACUCCCCAGAUCGGGAUGAAUACCCCCAAGUAUUAUAUAUGUCCCUCCGUUGUUUUACCAACUGUACCUGUGUCUUUGUAUGUAUAAUGUAUGUUAAUUAUGAACCCAUAUGUAAAGCUAUGUGUGUAAAUUUCCUGAGGGAAAAGAUUGUUCCUGUUUUAUUCAUCCUCUUUCCUGUGCCUAGCACAGUAAGCAAAAGUAAUUAUUUUGUGAGUGAAUAGAAAAUGUAUUCUAGAGCUGGAGAGAUGGCUCUGGAGAGAUGGCUCAGAGGUUAAGAGCACUGACUGCUCUUCCAGAGGUCCUGAGUUCAAAUCCCAGCAACCACAUGGUGGCUCACAACCAUCUGUAAUGGGAUCCGAUGGCCUCUUCUGGUGUGUCUGAGGACAGCAACAGUGUACUCAUAAAUAAAAAAAUCUUUAAAAAGAAAGAAAGAAAGAAAGAAAGAAA